GCUCCACACGCUGACGCCCUAGCAACCGGCCGGCAGCGCGGUUUCCAAGGACGCCCGCGCCUCAGCCUUUCGGCCGCGAGAGGCGUGCCUAGGACCCUGACUCCGGAAUCCGGCUUCGCUCGGCCCAGCAGACCCGGACUCGGAGCCGCCAGCAGCCCGACAUGGGCAGCAAUGACGCCUGCCUCAUGGCUAGGAUCAUUUACUAUGGCCAGGAAAAGUACUUCCAUCACAUGCAGCAGGCUGUGGCUGUGGGCUUGGAGAAAUUCAGCAAUGACCCUGUGUUGCAGUUCUUUAAAGCCUAUGGAGUCCUCUCAGAAGAGCACAUCCAGGAUGCCAUCAGCGACCUGGAGAGCAUCCAGAAUCACCCAGACGUGUCCUUGUGCUCCACCAUAGCCCUCAUUUAUGCUCACAGAUGCUGUGAAACCAUUGACCGAGAAGCCAUUCAGGAGCUAGAAUGCAGCCUGAAGGAAUUACGCAGGACAGCCAGUGAUACUGCCCUGUACUAUGCCAGCCUCUUCCUCUGGCUCGUAGGCCGCCAUGACAAGGCCAGAGAGUACACUGACCGCAUAUUGAAGGUCUCCUGUGGCUCCAGAGAAGUAUCCACCACAAGCAUCACGAGGACCCUUAUACUCCGAGGCUGGAUGGACCUCACCUCAGACAAGCCCCACAUUGUGAAGAAAGCCAUCAGGUACCUAGAACAAGGCAUUCAGGACACCAAAGAUGUGCUGGGGCUGAUGGGAAAGGCAACGUACUUCAUGAUGCAGCAGAACUACUCAGAGGCCCUGGAAGUGGUUACCCAGAUCACGGUGGCCUCAGAGAGCUUCCUGCCAGCCUUGGUCCUGAAGAUGCGGCUGUUCUUGGCUCGGCAGGACUGGGAGCAGACGGUAGAAAUGGGACACAGAAUCCUAGAAAAAGAUGAGAGCAAUAUUGAUGCCUACCAAAUUCUAGCUGUGCAUGAGCUUACAAGAGAAGGAAACAUGGCCACAGCUGCCGAUCACAUUAGAAAUCUGAUUAAGGCACUAGAAACGAGAGAGCCCCAAAAUCCAAGCCUCCAUCUUAAAAAAAUUCUUGUGAUUAGCAGACUGUGUGGCAGGCACCAGGCAAUUCUACAGCAAGUGUGUAACUUCAUCGAGCGCAUCUUCUUGGCCACACCCUUCCAUGCCGGUGCAGCCACAGAGCUGGGCUAUCUCUACGUCCUGCGGAACCAAGUAAAGGAGGCCUCCCUGUGGUACUCGGAGGGCAUGAAACUGAACGGAACGGCUGCUAUGACAGGAAUGAUCUGGUGCCAGAUCUUAGAAGGCCAACUGGAAGAGGCUGAGAACCAGCUGGAAUUCCUGAAGGAAGUGCAGCAGUCCCUUGGGAAGUCAGAGGUGCUGAUUUUCCUUCAAGCCCUUCUGGCAUCCAAGAAGCACAAGGGGGAACAGGCAACCACGGCGCUCCUGAAAGAGACAGUGGAGCUUCACUUCUCCAGCAUGCAGGGCCUCCCCCUGGGAUCUGAGUACUUUGAAAAGCUGGACCCCCACUUCCUGGUCUACAUUGCCAAGGAGUACUUGCUCUUUUGCCCCAAGCAGCCCCGGUCACCAGGCCAGAUCGUGUCUCCACUUCUUAAACAAGUUGCAGUGAUCUUGAGUCCUGUAGUCAAAGCAGCACCAGCUCUGGUUGACCCCCUGUAUGUAAUGGCUCAGGUCAAGUAUCUCUCAGGAGAGCCAGAGAAUGCCCAGAGCACCCUGCAGCGUUGCCUGGAGCUGGACCCCACCUCCGCGGACGCCCACCUCCUCAUGGCCCAGAUCUACCUGGCCCAGGGCAACUUUGCCAUGUGCUCCCACAGCUUAGAGCUGGGUGUCAGCCACAAUUUCCAGGUUCGAGACCACCCCCUCUACCAUUUCAUCAAGGCCAGGGCCCUUAACAAGGCUGGAGACUAUCCAGAGGCAAUAAAGACACUGAAAAUGAUCAUGAAAUUGCCAACUCUGAGGAUGGAAGAAGGCAAGAAGUCCCGCAGGCCCUCUGUGCAGCCCAGUGAGCGGGUGUCCAUCUUACUGGAACUUGUCGAUGCCCUCCGGCUGAAUGGGGAGCUGCAUGAGGCCACCAAGGUGUUGCAGGAUGCCAUCAACGAGUUCAGCGGCACACCAGAGGAGGACCACAUCACCAUCGCCAACGUGGACUUGGCCCUGAGCAAGGGCAAUGUAGACAUGGCUCUGAGUGUGCUGAGGAACAUCACACCCAAGCAGCCCUGCUACGUGGAAGCCAGGGAGAAGAUGGCCAGCAUCUACCUGCAGACCCGCAAAGACAUCCGCCUCUACAUCGGAUGCUACCGUGAGCUUUGUGAACAUCUGCCUGGCCCCCACACUAGCCUCCUACUGGGCGAUGCUUUCAUGAACAUUCAGGAGCCCGAGAAGGCCCUGGAGGUCUAUGAUGAGGCCUAUAGGAAGAACCCGCAUGACGCCUUUCUGGUCAGCAGGAUCGGGCAAGCUUAUGUGAAGACCCACCAGUACAGCAAGGCAAUUAAUUAUUAUGAGGCUGCCCAGAAGAUUAGCGGACAGGACUUUCUGUGCUGCAACCUGGCUGAACUGCUCCUCAAAUUAAAGAAGUUCAACAAAGCAGAAAAAGUUUUGAAGCAGGCACUGGAACAUGAAUUUGCCAAAGACAUCCCAUCCAUGAUGAAUGAUGUUAAGUGCUUACUUUUGCUGGCAAAAGUUUACGAGAGCCAGAAAAAAGAAGAGGUGAUAGAGACUUUGAACAAGGCCUUGGACCUCCAGUCUCGGAUACUGAAGCGGGUUCCACUAGAGCAACCAGAAAUGCUCUCGUCCCAGAAGCAACUGGCUGCCUGUAUCUGUAUCCAGUUUGGAGAGCACUACCUGGCAGAGAAGGAGUAUGCCAAAGCAGUGAAGGCUUAUAAGGAUGCCCUCUCCUACUCGCCCAUUGACAAUAAGGUGGUGUUGGAGCUGGCGCAACUCUACCUGCUCCAGGGGCACCUGGACCUGUGUGAGCAGCACUGUGCCAUCCUCCUGCAGACUGAGAAGAACCACGAGACCGCCUCUGUGAUGAUGGCUGACCUGCUGUUUAGAAAACAGAAUUAUGAAGCAGCCGUCAAUCUCUACCGCCAAGUCCUGGAGAAAGCGCCAGAUAAUUUUUCGGUAUUGAGGAAAUUAAUCGAUCUGCUACGAAGAAGUGGCAAACUUGAAGAUGCUCCUGCCUUCUUUGAAUUGGCCAAGAAGGUGUCCAGCCGGGUGCCUCUGGAGCCCGGGUUCAACUACUGCAGAGGCAUCUACCGCUGGCACAUAGGGCAGCCCAACGAAGCCUUGAAGUUCUUAAACAAAGCGCGUAAGGACAGCACUUGGGGCCAGAGAGCCACCUACUACAUGGUGCAGAUCUGUCUGAACCCAGACAACGAGAUUGUGGGCGGAGAAGCUUUUGAGACCCUGGUGGUUGAGAGCAACUCCAGCAACAGAAAGGAGACCGAGCAGCACGGCGUGCGCACAGCCGAGAAGCUGCUGCGUGAGUUCUACCCGCACUCGGCCUUCGGCCAGACCCAGCUGCGGCUGCUGCAGGGCCUGUGCCUGCUGGCCACCAGGGAGAAGGCUAACGUGGAGGUGGCGCUGGGCAACUUCAUCGAGAUGGCGCAGGCCGAGCAGGACAGCGUCCCCGCCCUGCUGGCCUUGGCGCAGGCCUACAUUCUUCUGAAGCAGAUCCCCAAGGCACGCACGCAGUUGAAGCGCCUGGCCAAGGCCCCGUGGGUGCUGGCCGAGGCCGAGGACCUGGAGCAGAGCUGGCUCCUGCUGGCCGACAUCUACUGCCAGGGCGGCAAGUUCGACCUGGCCUCGGAGCUGCUGCGGCGCUGCGUGCAGUACAACAAGUCCUGCUGCAAGGCCUAUGAAUACAUGGGCUUCAUCAUGGAGAAGGAGCAGUCCUACAAGGACGCAGCCACCAACUAUGAGCUGGCCUGGAAGUAUAGUCAUCAUGCCAACCCUGCCAUUGGUUUCAGACUCGCUUUCAACUACUUGAAGGACAAGAAAUUUGUGGAGGCCAUCGAAGUCUGCCACAGCGUCCUCUCAGAACACCCCAACUAUCCCAAGAUAAGAGAGGAAAUUUUGGAAAAGGCCCAGGGGUCCCUGAGGCCGUAGCUGUGGUUCGAGAGGCCCAAAGCAGCGAAGCCAUCAAUCUACUGAAGUUGUAUGGAGGGGCAAGAAGAGGAGUCACUGAAACUCAGGAUCCGCGCCAGGCUGUCAUCAUCCAUACCAGGCUGGAAACCAGGACCAGGCAGGCCUGGCCCUCCUUGCAGCAGCCACAGGGGAAUGCUGUGUGGUCCAUCUGCAGAGAAAGUAGAGGCAGCACGAGUGAGGAUUUCAUGGAGCACAAAGAAGCCCCCAGGUUCAGCUCCCCACCCAGCUGGGUCCAACCACCGCACCUGGCACUUGAUGCCCGCCAGGCUGCAGCUGCAGGUCUCAGGGUCACAGACCCUAUCGCAGUGACAGCCACAGUCCUCCCGGGAUUGGCGCAGUGCCUGCAGCUCCCGCUUCUCCUCCCGAUCGAUCCUUCGAAUGCCCGCAGCCCGCAGUAGAGCCCGUCGUCGCCGGGCUGGGUAGGGCUGUAGGAAGUUGACUUCCUCCAACCGGCCUCCUGCCACGGCCACUGCCAAGUCCUCUUCCACAGAGGCAUCAUCAAUGGCAUCCACCUCAAGAGGUGGGCCUGCCUCCGCCUUGGCUACCCCGGCGGCCGACAGCUGCAUCCAUGGGAGAAAGGGAUGUGAGAAGCACAGACAGGGCACAGACUUAGCCCCAGUCACACAACAAACACUCCCCAAGUGCUCACUCUGCGCUGGGCACUGUGGAUAUGACAGUGAACAGGACAGUGAAGAGCACUGCCCUCAGGGCAUUUGCACAGUGAUGUCCUAUUCAUGCCAUUUCCCAGAUCACGGACAUACUUCCUCCCCAGCCAGCCAGAUAUACACUGCCAAUGUCACAUCAACUGCACAUCCCCUCCCCAACAAGGUCAGACAGAUUCAGGCACCAUGCCCGCAGCCCCUGGUACAACUAGACAGGCGCCCCCACGUGCCUCCCCGUCUGCAGAGAAUGUAGGCAACAGACUCCAGCUGAGCCAGUCACUGGGCUCAUGGGCCCGUUUCCCCAUAUACAUAGUGAGCAAGUCAGCACCAAGCCUGGUGUGCCUGCCCCUCAGGGUUAGGACCCCAGGAGCUACCUGAGGGUGUGGGCCACAGAGAGGGGUCUCCCUACCUUCCAUUGCAGCAUCUCCAGCUUCUCCUCCUUCAAGCGCUGGCGGAGCUUCUCGCGUCGUGCCCGGGCUUGCUCCUGCGUAAAUUCGGCCAAGGAGAAGUGGCGACGAGCACUGUGGCGAGGGGCCAUGCCCAGAGUGCAGCCACCACGGCUGGGCACGCUGGUGAAGCCCUGGCACCGGGGGAAGUAGAAGACGGUGAUGCCAUCAAAGGCUACUCGGCCUGGGCGCUCCCGGGGAGCCCGCUUCAAGAUGGACAGGGCUGGAAAGCAGGCAGGGAAGGCCCGGGGGUUAGCUCUCUGUGAGGCACAGCAUAACCUCCUGGAAGAUCCUGCCCGGCCAUCUCCCGCAUCCGUCCCCGCUCCGCCCACCUCAAAUAAAGAAAUGGAUCUGAAAUUAGGAGCCAGCCCGGCUGAGACUGGAGCUGCUAAAACUGAACACCACACCCAUGUCCACAAUGGCUUAUUGUUAUUUACCAGGCCAAAUGACAGUAUUUAUAAAAUUAAACAUCUUUCCCAUCCUUGUACAAUUUUCUAGUUUUAAAAAUUGAUUUGUAGGACCUCUUUACAUAUGAUAUUAGCAACAAUAAUUAUCUGUCUAGCCUACCUAAGGGGAUACUUUAGUCUUACAUUUUUGUUUAUGGCAUUAUACCAAAUAAUUUUUAAGGUCUAUGUAAUCAAAAGUAUUAUAAUCUCUUCCUUUAGAGCGUCUAUAUCUUGCAAUAGGCUUAGAAAGGCCUUCCCUUUACAAGUUAUUGAUUGUAUAUUGAUUAGCAAGCCACGUAUUGGUCUUUACAUCCGGUUGAACCAAAAGAAAUUACCAUAAAAUGGUUGAAUACAGGCUAUUCCACAUUUUCACUUAAUAUUUUAAUUCUGUACCCAGAUGCUCGACGGAAUUCUCUUUUAAAAGGUUUUCUUUUUGUAUUGUUAGAUUCUGUAUGCUAAAAAUCAGUUUUUAUGUAUAAUGCGCAGAUACAC